rnacentral:rRNA from 1 species
GAUGAACGCUGGCGGCGUGCCUAAUACAUGCAAGUCGAGCGAACAGAUGAGGAGCUUGCUCCUCUGACGUUAGCGGCGGACGGGUGAGUAACACGUGGAUAACCUACCUAUAAGACCGGGAUAACUUCGGGAAACCGGAGCUAAUACCGGAUAAUAUAUUGAACCGCAUGGUUCAAUAGUGAAAGACGGUUUUGCUGUCACUUAUAGAUGGAUCCGCGCCGCAUUAGCUAGUUGGUAAGGUAACGGCUUACCAAGGCAACGAUGCGUAGCCGACCUGAGAGGGUGAUCGGCCACACUGGAACUGAGACACGGUCCAGACUCCUGCGGGAGGCAGCAGUAGGGAAUCUUCCGCAAUGGGCGAAAGCCUGACGGAGCAACGCCGCGUGAGUGAUGAAGGUCUUCGGAUCGUAAAACUCUGUUAUUAGGGAAGAACAAAUGUGUAAGUAACUAUGCACGUCUUGACGGUACCUAAUCAGAAAGCCACGGCUAACUACGUG